GGCAGAACAAGAAAAUGUCCACCAUCCUUGUAAAAGUGGGGUGGAGGGUCCAGAGGAGACAAGUGGAUACUGCCUUGGGAUGCUUGUUGAUCUGGAAGGAUUUGGUGAAGCCUCAGUGGAUGCUGCCAGAAACCAUCCCCAAAAUGCCCCACACUGGCAUUUAAAUCAGUGCAAGCACUCCUGGUGAGGAUGCGCACGGCUGACACAAGAAGCGUAGUGUGGAUGUGUAAAACCGAUUCAAUUACUGUGCUGGCUGUACACCUAUGUAACUUAGGUCUACUUAAUUUUGUAUUGUAGACUUGCCCAGAGUGUUGGCAGCUCAAAGAUGGGAAAAAUUGAGGCACCAAGAGAGGAAGUGGACUGGCUCCAGGUCACCUAGCAGGCCAAUGGCAGAGCAGGGAGUAGAACUCACGUGUCUGAGGUUAGGACAGUGCUCUCUCUACUAGACCAUGCUUUCAUCUCCAGGUAAAGGGCUGGAGCCUCAUCUGCUGUCAAGAGGGUAAUGUUGAUUUACAUCA